GGCUCAAGCGAUCCUCCUGCCUUGGCCUCCCAAGGUGUUGGGGUUACAGGCGUGAGCCACCAUGCCAGCCAGUGUUGGUGUUACAAGCUCAGUGGUUCAACUGUUGGCCAGGGGUGAAGCAAACGGGCUGAGGACCUGGUGGUGUGCUGAACGCCCAAACCUCUUGGGAGGCAGAUUUGGUUUCUGUAAGCUGUUAGAGUGCCAGUUGGACUUGUUUUCCUUUCUUUUCUCUCCUUUUUGUUGUCAGAAGAAAUGCUGUCCAGGCAUAUCAGAUAGCAGCGAGGAACUGUGGGACUCAGAUCUGUGCCCAAAUCAAAAGGCUGAGAGAUGAAUGGGAGGGAGCUUAACCUUUACUGAGUGCCCAUGCUGGGGGCUUUAGAGCCUCGUCAUUUUUCACUGUUACUUCGGUAUUAUAAAGAAGAAAUUACUGUCUCCAUUCGAUAGAUUAGGAAACCAAGGCUCAUGGAGCAAGAUCAGGAAACAGCCCCGGAAAGCUGCAAGUUUUCUUCAUCAUCAGCUGCUUGGAGAAGCUUCUUUCUAAAAGCCAGGCUUUCUAGAAUCAUGUAGGGAGGUAACUUGCUGCAGGUGGACGUGCUGUCCUGUAAAGGCUGGCAGGGCCAGUCAGGAUCUGCACCCGCAGUGGGGUGGGGGUGCUGCGUGUGGUGUGCCCCCCAGCUGGGAGUGUGGGCUCCCGUGAUAACCCGGCUUCACACCAGCCUGGAGCCCAGAGGAAGGGACCGGGUUGCUUCAGGCACCUCUGAAACUUCCGGGGUUGGGCGGAGGGUGGAACAGGGAGCAGCUGGCCUCAGACUUCACCCCUCACCCCAGAGCGGCAGGAAGCAGAGAUUCAGGGUUAAUUGCAGGUGUUGCAGAGGGCGAAAGGAUAGACCCUUUUUCCGGUAACUAAACUUCUUGCGGGCAGACACAGCGUUUGAGUUUUCGCAUUGGCUUCAAACAAACCCAGUGGAAGUGGACAGUGAACAAGACACCCCCGCAGGAGGCCCGGGCACGGGGUGUGGCUGCCAGGCCUGGCCAUGGAAGGCCAUCACUGUGGGCUCUUCUGGGAGUGGCACUGACAGCCAGCAAGGAGAAUGGGUGCUGGGGCGGAGUGGAAGAAGGUGAGCUUGAGGCCGGAGUUCCUACCCCAGGAGGCACCGUCAGCGUCCCACUUCUGCUCGUGUGAUCCCCUGGAGGCACCUGAAUCAGGCAGUAAACAUGGAGUGAGAAACACCGGAGUAGAAGACCUUGCAACAGCACAUGUGUGGGCCCAGUUCCUAGCUGCCCCGGGUGGCCAAGGCCACAUCCUGUACACACAGGUCUGGGAGUGUCUGCAUUUCAGCCCUUGACCGUGAACUUGACCCUCUGGAGGUGUCCAUCUUGAUGUGAUCCUCUGACUGCAACCUCAUCCUCUGCCUCUCAGAGCUGCCUCCCCCUGUGGCUUCUUGCCCUGAGGCAUGGGAGGCGUUGGUGCCAGGAGCUUGGGGUUUGAGUCAGGUUGGCUCGGGGAUAAGACCCAGCCUUUCCACACAUUAGUUUGUGAUGCUGGGUCAUAGUGCGUCUGUUUGCUCCCUGUCAAGGGACCAGUAACAUGAGGGGUCAGAGAAGGGAUCAGAACUCUCGUGGGCCUCCAGUGUGUCGCAAGUUUUUGCUGUUCUGCUUUUCCUCAGCUGCUGGUGGGAAUGCAAAUUGCUGUGCUGACUUUGGAAAAACUCUCCGGCAGUAAAGCCUAAAGUUCCACAUCCACACACCGUACUGUGGCCCAGCUGAUUUCUCUCCUAAGGGUAUCCCGGAGUAACUUCUGCACAUGGAUGCCUGGGACUUUACAGCCCUUCUGCACACAAUAACAGAAACCUGGAAGCCACCCAGAUGCCCAUCAGUGGGAGAAGGGAUGAAUACACGAAGACACGAUCACACAAUGGAAUAUUAUACAGCUGUCCAAACACAUUAACUGCAGCAUAACUUCAGUGAUGUAGGUGGAUUCUGGCAAUAUCAUAAAUAUUAGUAAAAAUAGCAUGUUCCCAAUGAUGACUUACAGCACUAUGCCUUUUAAAAAUAAAGUUAAAAGCAACUACAAUGACUGUACUCUCUAGGAAAAUUUACAGGUGCAAUAAAACUACAUAAAAAAGAG
rnacentral:lncRNA from 1 species